AGAUGCUGGCGACCGGCAAACGGGUGCGGAACACGUACAGAACUUCUUCGAGCGGGGAAUAGCCCAGAGAAAUUUGGAUUAAUACCCCAUAGUAUAUUGAAGAGGCAUCUCUUUGGUAUUAAAGAUUUAUCACUUGAAGAUGGCUGUGCGGCUGAUUAGGUAGUUGGCGGGGUAAAGGCCCACCAAGCCUGCGAUCAGUAACUGGUGUGAGAGCACGACCAGUCACACGGGCACUGAGACACGGGCCCGACUCCUACGGGAGGCAGCAGUAAGGAAUAUUGGUCAAUGGACGCAAGUCUGAACCAGCCAUGCCGCGUGAAGGAUGAAGGUCCUCUGGAUUGUAAACUUCUUUUAUAUGGGACGAAAAAGGGGCUUUCUAGCUCAACUGACGGUACCAUUUGAAUAAGCACCGGCUAACUCCGUGCCAGCAGCCGCGGUAAUACGGAGGGUGCAAGCGUUAUCCGGAUUCACUGGGUUUAAAGGGUGCGUAGGUGGGUUGGUAAGUCAGUGGUGAAAUCCCCGAGCUUAACUCGGGAACUGCCAUUGAUACUAUCAGUCUUGAAUACCGUGGAGGUCAGCAGAAUAUGUCAUGUAGCGGUGAAAUGCUUAGAUAUGACAUAGAAUACCAAUUGCGAAGGCAGCUGGCUACCCGAAUAUUGACACUGAGGCACGAAAGCGUGGGGAUCAAACAGGAUUAGAUACCCUGGUAGUCCACGCCCUAAACUAUGGAUACUAGGUGUUGUGGGAAUUGACCCCCGCAGUGCCGUAGCUAACGCAUUAAGUACCCCGCCUGGGAAGUACGGCCGCAAGGUUAAAACUCAAAGGAAUUGACGGGGGCCCGCACAAGCGGUGGAGCAUGUGGUUUAAUUCGAUGCAACGCGAAAAACCUUACCUGGGUUAGA
rnacentral:rRNA from 1 species